AUUGAACGCUGGCGGCAGGCCUAACACAUGCAAGUCGAGCGGAUGAAGGGAGCUUGCUCCUGGAUUCAGCGGCGGACGGGUGAGUAAUGCCUAGGAAUCUGCCUGGUAGUGGGGGAUAACGUCCGGAAACGGGCGCUAAUACCGCAUACGUCCUGAGGGAGAAAGUGGGGGAUCUUCGGACCUCACGCUAUCAGAUGAGCCUAGGUCGGAUUAGCUAGUUGGUGGGGUAAAGGCCUACCAAGGCGACGAUCCGUAACUGGUCUGAGAGGAUGAUCAGUCACCCCGGAACUGAGAAACGGUCCAGACUCCUACGGGAGGCAGCAGUUGGGAAUAUUUGACAAUGGGCGAAAGCCUGAUCCAGCCAUGCCGCGUGUGUGAAGAAGGUCUUCGGAUUGUUAAGCCCUUUAAGUUGGGAGGAAGGGCAGUAAGUUAAUACCUUGCUGUUUUGACGUUACCAACAGAAUAAGCACCGGCUAACUUCGUG
rnacentral:rRNA from 1 species